AGCCGCCGCGGUAACACCGGCGGCCCGAGUGGUGAUCGUGAUUAUUGGGUCUAAAGGGUCCGUAGCCGGUUUGGUCAGUCCUCCGGGAAAUCUGAUAGCUCAACUAUUAGGCUUUCGGGGGAUACUGCCAGACUUGGAACCGGGAGAGGUAAGAGGUACUACAGGGGUAGGAGUGAAAUCUUGUAAUCCCUGUGGGACCACCUGUGGCGAAGGCGUCUUACCAGAACGGGUUCGACGGUGAGGGACGAAAGCUGGGGGCACGAACCGGAUUAGAUACCCGGGUAGUCCCAGCCGUAAACGAUGCUCGCUAGGUAUCAGGCAUGGCGCGACCGUGUCUGGUGCCGCAGGGAAGCCGUGAAGCGAGCCACCUGGGAAGUACGGCCGCAAGGCUGAAACUUAAAGGAAUUGGCGGGGGAGCACAACAACGGGUGGAGCCUGCGGUUUAAUUGGACUCAACGCCGGACAACUCACCGGGGGCGACAGCAAUAUGUAGGCCAAGCUGAAGACUUUGCCUGAAUCGCUGAGGGGAGGUGCAUGG
rnacentral:rRNA from 1 species